AGAGAGAGAGAGAGAGAGAGAAUUAGUUGAACACUUUUUUUAUCCCAUCCUUGAUUUUCAAUAGCGUAUAGUAGGGUUCUUUUUUAUAAUUUAUAUUAGAAUAAAAAAAAUUAAGAACUAAAUUAAAUUAUAAGCAAUUAACUUCGUAUAAUUUCCUUCUUUUAAUGCUUCAUAUUUCUGUUGUUGCGGAAAAAACAUGCUAUGUGUGAAAUCAUAUCCACCAGGCACAAACAAUGGAAUCACUAAAUCACAUGAAUAUAUUGAAAUAAGUAUAGAAAUGAAGAAAUUUUUGCCGCUAGGUUGGUGAUGCACAUUGCUUUGAGAACCCACAAAUCUGAUUUCUACAUUUUCGCUUCCUCAGAAGAUGCAGAUACCAAUCAUGAGUAGGAAAUUUAGAAGAGAUACAUAUUUUUCAUAUUCAUGAUCAAGACUUCAAAACUUGAUGCUUUAAGCUUAUUUUGUUUAUGGUGUCCAAGUUUUUUUGAAGUUGUAUGCUUAUCAUCUUUCAUUUGCAUUCGUAGGAUAAUUUUUUUUCAUUUAUUGUGGUAUAUCUGUUAAAUUAAGAAGUUUGCUGGUUGCUCGAUAUCCUCUCACCCUAAUCACUUGCAUUUUUCUCAACUUUUGAAUUACCGUUUUUCAUAUUUUUGUCAUUUUGGGAACAACUAAUUUCAUAUCCAUUUCUUUAAAAUCUUUUUAUUUAAAUUAUAUAUUUUAAAUAAAAUUUUUUAAUUUAUUUAAAAUGUCAAAUGAUUUAAAAAAUUAUUAUUUUAUCAUUUUUUCUUUUAAAUUCAUACUUUAAACACACUACAAAAUUCCCGCACAAUGCAUGGGCUUUGGACUAGUUCUAAUCAACUGGGAAGUGGUGAACAAAUUCAAAGGGUGCUAAAUGAAUUGGCUGGUAAUGCUUCUAUCCAGAGUAUUCUUCUUUAUUUAUUUUCUUUAAUGCAUUUAAAAAGUUUGAUUUUGAUUCCAUUCGCAGAAGUUAAUAGUGCAGAUAUUGAGAAACCAAGGCAUGAUGAUAAGGGAGCAGUUACUUGUAACUCCAUCUUCUUAUAUGCUAAGUGUUGCAAGAAAUUGGUGGUAUGCUAUUUUUCAUUAGUUUUAUGUUUCUUUUGUUCCAGCAGGUGAAAUUUUUUCUCACACGAGUAACUUGAAUUUCUAAUACAACCACAAUUAAUUUGAUAUUUUAAGGAUGUUAUAAGAAUUUAGAAUUUCCCAACUCCUGGAGAAGUGAGGACAAUGAUCCAGGUUCUUUUGUGUUAGCCUUAUGUGUCUAGAUACAUCCAACAUCUCACCUCCCUUGAAAGUUGAGCAACAAGUGGUUCUAUGACCCAGCAUGAUGGAAUGAUGAAGGCGACUUGUGAUGGCAAGCCCUUAAAGGCCAUACCGGAGAUUACUUUCCAGUACUCAAAAUGAUCAGAUGCCUUCAUGAUGGAAUGCUUUUGCCCAACUUGAGGCAAUGGGACAUCAUUUAUUACUAAGAAGUUAGGCAUGUUCAUAUCCUUCAAAUUCAAUAGAGUUUAGAAGGUUAUUUUUUUUACACCAUGUAUAAUAUAUAUGUUCUGCAAUUCUGUUAACUGCCCUGCAUAUGAUAUCACUUAACAAGUACUAAAAACUAUUCAAGCCCUUUUUUUUCCCCUUAUUCUCUUUAGUAAUGAUGUCAUUAAAUCUUGAAUUAUGCUAAAAGGUUUAUGCAUUUGGUUGUCUUUUCAAUCACUUGUGUACAGAAUCUACACUACUUGCUGCCUUUGCUUUGGAGUGAAAUACUGGUGAAGAAUCAAAUUUCGCUGUUGAGUUUUCUUCUCAAUCAAUAGAGGCUCUGAUCUGUAAAUAUUUUCUUUUGAUCCUCACAGAGAGGAUAUAUGUAUAGUUGUGUAUUUAAAUAUGUUUGAUGGGCAUGGAGCUUAAUAGGUUUUAUGGUUUCUUUUAGCUGUAAAAUUUAGGGGAAAUUCUAUAGGUUAGGGACGGGUGUGUCACAAGCUAUACUGCAAGAUGUUUUAUGCAGGUUUCUGUGGGCAGAGUGGACUUGUUAUCCCUAUGGAUUAGCUUUUGCCAGGUAUUAAUUUUGUUAUUAGUUUUUGUGUAUAUUUAUCAUCAGAUAAGUAAUUGGGUUACUAUGUGCUACACUAAAACCUUACAAACCAUGAUUUCGGCUAAUUAACGAAAAUCAAAUAUGAAAAUCAGAUGUGAAUAUCUAAGCAAAUUCUCAAUUGCCUCUUCUGCAGAAUGCUAACCCUAUAUGUUCACUGGACAUGGGAUACUCCCGAAGUUUCUUGGACCAACAAUACGAGUUAUUUGAGAAUGUUUUCCUCAACUGUCUGCUCAAUUCCACAUUCAACCACCCUUCUGCCUAUGAGAGAUUUACAUGGAUGGAAAAUUUCUAAUCAAAGUUUCUUGUUGUCUCAAAGACCUAUAGAGGAGCCUCUCAAAUUGCAGGCAUUUCUCAUCAAGCAAAUCUAAUUUAACAAAAUGAUCCACACCCCUCAAAUGUCAACACUUCAAUAGUUGUCCCACCAAGUGGAUGCUCUUGUUGAUGGCAGAUCCACAACCAGUUCCCAAUCUUUAAGUUUGUCAAGAUUUUUGUGUUGUAAUUAUAACUAUUUGAUUAUGUAAUGUUUUUCAGGCAGUUGUUGAGAUUGUGGCCAUAGAUAUUAUCCCUUCACAUGUUUUCUAUAAUAAUCAAACAGAAUUAAGCUUCAUUCUCUUCUCUGUUUGCCCUAUUUACUAAUAUUGGAACUUCAUAAUUACUAGCCAUGUGUAUUUUUGCCUUAAUAAUUACUAUGACCAUUUUUUUUUUUCAU
rnacentral:misc_RNA from 1 species